rnacentral:rRNA from 1 species
AUUGAACGCUGGCGGCAUGCUUUACACAUGCAAGUCGAACGGUAACAGGCCGCAAGGUGCUGACGAGUGGCGAACGGGUGAGUAAUGCAUCGGAACGCGCCCAGUCGUGGGGGAUAACGCAGCGAAAGCUGUGCUAAUACCGCAUACGAUCUAUGGAUGAAAGCGGGGGACCGAAAGGCCUCGCGCGAUUGGAGCGGCCGAUGUCAGAUUAGGUAGUUGGUGGGGUAAAGGCUCACCAAGCCAACGAUCUGUAGCUGGUCUGAGAGGACGGCCAGCCACACUGGGACUGAGACACGGCCCAGACUCACACGGGAGGCAGCAGUGGGGAAUUUUGGACCAUGGGGGCGAGCCUGAUCCAGCAAUGCCGCGUGCAGGAAGAAGGCCUUCGGGUUGGAAACUGCUUUUGUACGGAGCGAAAAGGCUCUCUCUAAUACAGGGGGCUCAUGACGGUACCGUAAGAAUAAGCACCGGCUAACUACGUGCCAGCAGCCGCCGUAACAC